rnacentral:rRNA from 1 species
AUACGGAGGGUGCAAACGUUGUUCGGAAUUACUGGGCGUAAAGCGCGCGUAGGCGGUUUGUUAAGUCAGAUGUGAAAGUCCACAGCUCGACUGUGGAAGUGCAUUUGAAACUGGCAGACUUGAGUACUUGAGGGGGUGGUGGAAUUCCCGGUGUAGAGGUGAAAUUCGUAGAUAUCGGGAGGAAUACCGGUGGCGAAGGCGACCACCUGGCCAGAUACUGACGCUGAGGUGCGAAAGCGUGGGGAGCAAACAGGAUUAGAAACCCUGGUAGUCC